rnacentral:rRNA from 1 species
AUUGAACGCUGGCGGAAGGCCUAACACAUGCAAGUCGAACGAGUGGCGGACGGGUGAGUAAUGACUGGGAAACUGCCUGAUGGAGGGGGAUAACUACUGGAAACGGUAGCUAAUACCGCAUACCAUCGGAUGUGCCCAGAUGGGAUUCGCUAGGAGGGGGGGUAAAGGCUCACCUAGGCGACGAUCCCUAGCUGGGCUGAGAGGAUGACCAGCCCCCCUGGACCUCAGACACGGUCCAGACUCCUACGGUGGGAAGCAGUGGGGAAUAUUGCACAAUGGGCGCAAGCCUAAUGCAACCAUGCCGCGUGUAUGAAGGAGGCCUUCGGGUUGUAAAGUAAUUUCAGCGGGGAGGCGUUACCCGCAGAAGAAGCACCGGCUAACUCCGUGCGAGCAGCCGCGGUAAUAG